rnacentral:tRNA from 19 species
GGGGUAUAGCUCAGUUGGUAGAGCACCUGCUUUGCAAGCAGGGGGUCCAGGUUCGAUCCCGUAUCUCCA